rnacentral:lncRNA from 1 species
CCAGAGUGAUAUGAUUCCUUUGUAUCUUUUAUGAAAGCAGCCAGCCACACUGUCUCCAGGCCAUUGUUUCUCUAGGUCUUCUUUGAAGACGGACGAUCUACUGUUUCAAAAGAUGUAUGUGUGUGGACAAUAAUACCAAUAUCUGGAGUUUUAGCUUCCACCCACCAAGAUGAACCCAGCCCCCACAUUAGCC